rnacentral:rRNA from 1 species
UACAGAGGUGGCAAGCGUUGUUCGGAAUUACUGGGCGUAAAGGGCGCGUAGGCGGUUCGUUAAGUCCUGUGUGAAAUCCCCCGGCUCAACUGGGGAACUGCACAGGAAACUAGCGGGCUUGAAUCCGGGAGAGGGAUGUGGAAUUCCAGGUGUAGCGGUGAAAUGCGUAGAUAUCUGGAGGAACACCGGUGGCGAAGGCGGCAUCCUGGACCGGUAUUGACGCUGAUGCGCGAAAGCCAGGGGAGCAAACGGG